GAUGAACGCUAGCGGCAGGCCUAACACAUGCAAGUCGAGCGGGGGAGGUUGCUUCGGUAACUGACCUAGCGGCGGACGGGUGAGUAAUGCUUAGGAAUCUGCCUAUUAGUGGGGGACAACAUUCCGAAAGGAAUGCUAAUACCGCAUACGCCCUACGGGGGAAAGCAGGGGAUCUUCGGACCUUGCGCUAAUAGAUGAGCCUAAGUCGGAUUAGCUAGUUGGUGGGGUAAAGGCCGACCAAGGCGACGAUCUGUAGCGGGUCUGAGAGGAUGAUCCGCCACACUGGGACUGGGACACGGCCCAGACUCAUACGGGAGGCAGCAGUGGGGAAUAUUGGACAAUGGGCGGAAGCCUGAUCCAGCCAUGCCGCGUGUGUGAAGAAGGCCUUUUGGUUGUAAAGCACUUUAAGCGAGGAGGAGGCUCUUAAGGUUAAUACCCUUGAUGAGUGGACGUUACUCGCAGAAUAAGCACCGGCUAACUCUGUGCCAGCCGCCGCGGUAAGAC
rnacentral:rRNA from 1 species